UGCUCCUACGGGGCGCAGCAGUAGGGAAUCUUCCACAAUGGGCGAAAGCCUGAUGGAGCAACGCCGCGUGGGUGAAGAAGGUCUUCGGAUCGUAAAACCCUGUCGUUAGAGAAGAAAGUGCGUGAGAGUAACUGUUCACGUUUCGACGGUAUCUAACCAGAAAGCCACGGCUAACUACGUGCCAGCAGCCGCGGUAAUACGUAGGUGGCAAGCGUUAUCCGGAUUUAUUGGGCGUAAAGGGAACGCAGGCGGUCUUUUACGUCUGAUGGGAAAGCCUUCGGCUUAAACGGAGUAGUG
rnacentral:rRNA from 1 species